rnacentral:lncRNA from 1 species
UGGGUGUGAAAUCCGAACAACAUAAAGUAGAUGAAUGUAGUCAUUUCAAUAAUGAUUGAGCACAUUUAUUGCAAUUUAGCAAUCACAUUUAUGAUUUAUUCAUACAAGUGCAAAUUUACCUUCCCUUCCACGACUCUAACAUUACUCUUGAAGUUGUAGGAUAUUAUCAUCAAUAGUUAAGCAACCCACUUUAGCAAACAAAUUGAUAGUAAGCACG